CAAGGAAUUAAGGGUUUAUGGGGAAUACCUUGGCAUUCAGAAGCGAAGAAGGACGUGGUUACCGACGAUACGCUUCGGGGAGCUGGAAACAAGCAACGAUCCGGAGGUCUCCGAAUGAGGAAACUUUAAUUAAUAACUACUUAUUGAAUACAUAGAUAAGAAAGAGCGAACCUAGGGAACUGAAACAUCUUAGUACCUGGAGGAAAAGAAAGUAAAAACGAUUCCCUGAGUAGCGGCGAGCGAAACGGGAACAGCCUAAACUUAAUAAUAAAUUAAGGGUAGUGGGACAAUCAAAACGAUUAUAUGUAACGAUUAGAAGAACAAUUUUGGAAUAAUUGACCAUAGAGAGUGAUAGUCUCGUAUUCGAAAAUCGAAACCAUCAGAUUGUAUCCCAAGUAGCAUGGAGCACGUGGAAUUCCGUGUGAAUCUGCGAGGACCACCUCGUAAGGCUAAAUAUUCCUGAAUGACCGAUAGUGAAAUAGUACCGUGAGGGAAAGGUGAAAAGAACCCCGGGAGGGGAGUGAAAAGAACAUGAAACCAUAAACUUACAAGCAGUAGGAGGACGACUAAAACGUCUGACUGCGUGCCUGUUGAAGAAUGAGCCGGCGACUUAUAGGUAGUGGCAGGGUAAGGGAGUGAAUAACGAAGCCAUAGUGAAAGCGAGCCCG
rnacentral:rRNA from 1 species